rnacentral:rRNA from 1 species
AUGUUAAGUAUGACGAGCGGAAAUCACGGACCCCCUGUCGGGGCGACCGGGAGGCGACUCCUGAGCGAGAGAGAGAAGAUCUUGCCGCCGGCAAGAUCCCAGGUACUAAUCGAGAGCAAAUCGCCGGGAGAAGGCGGAUCGAAAGCGGGGAAGGAGAUAGACCCGUUGGGUUUGCGAGAGGCAUGGCUCAGAACCAGGAAAACGAUCAAACAGAUCGCGGAGAAAAGGAAAGCCCAUGAAGGAGAGCGGAAGAUCCCGGGGCGGCAGAUCGCUGAUACGAAGGAAGGGGCGAUUAGGAGAAUCAGAGAAAGGAUGCAAGUGAUGAGAGAUAAUCUGAGGCAUGGCCUAGGAGAUCUUGAGCGUGUUCAGAAAUCACCAGGGACAGGGGGCUCACCAUCGAAGGAUCCCCCAGAUAAGGGCGGCGGGAUCACAAUAUCAACCAUGGUGGAAGGAGAUCAACAAGAAGGGAAAGAAUCAAAAAUCUCUCGGGAAGAUACAACACAACAAGAAGCUGAUCAGGGACGGGCAUGCAUAAAAGGAUUGGAAUGCGAAGGAGCAGUCACACAGAUCACAAAAACACCGUCUGCAAGCCCCCAACCUUUGCCAAUGGCUGGUCAGGAGAACCAAAAGAAUAAGGCCAUCGUGGAGGUCGAGGGAGAGGCACCGCGCGCCGGCGACGGCAGCAACACGGCGCGGGUGCUUCUCCGGGGUGACUCCUCCCGCUCGCAGGGGGGAGGGCAUCUCUGCGGAGGCUUGGUGCUGGCGGCGACACCAUCGUCCCGAGGUUCCCAGUUGACCUGGGGAAGAGGAAGGAGGGCGUGGUUGAGCUCGACCUCAGCAAAGAGAGGGCCGCCAUGA